rnacentral:lncRNA from 1 species
UUUUCCUUGUCUUUUUCUUUUCAAAUUUUUUUUACCUCUUCCUUAUCUAAUCCCAUGUCUAAACCACUCUUGGGAUUACCUUUUAUGCCAUAUGGGAUGACACUUAUAUAAGGUAUGAAGGGGCGCCACAUAUUUUUCCAAGGGGCGCCAACUCUUAGCAUCCCUUAAUUCUUACAUAGUGAAAAUUAAUUUUUUAGCAUGGAAUCCUAAGUGCA